rnacentral:tRNA from 2 species
GCCCAAGUGGUGGAACUGGUAGACACGCAGGCUUGAGGUGCCUGUGGGGGAAACCCUGUGGAGGUUCGAGUCCUCUCUUGGGCACCA